AGGGUUUCCCUCACUCUUUCCUAUAUAAAGGCAUCAAUUGCCUUGUGAGAGGGGUCUUCAACUUUUCAGCCGAAAAAUUGACAAGAAAAAUCUGAUUUUUCUUUCAUUUCCAGUCUUAGAUUAGUUUCAGCAUUUAGAUACACAAAAAAUUUAAAAAAAUACAUACAAAAAUCAGAAAACAACAAAAAUUACUGUUUCAUUGAUUAUGAGUAGCUGCUGGGUUUAUUUUCUGGUUUUCAGUUUAUAAUUUGGUCUGGGAUUUGUUGUGGACUGUUUUUGGAGUAACUUCUGCUGGGUUCUAGCUUUUUGUGGUUUCUUCAGGGUUAUUUACUGGGGUUUUCCAAAAUUUCUGGGUUAAUUCUUGCAUCUGGAGACUGCUAUGUUCCUGUUGAUGUGUUUUGGUUAUUUGAAGCUUCUACUGACCUCUGCUUUCCCUGUGUUACUUUGCUCUCCAGGUAUCUCUACUGUUUCUGUUGUGAAUUGUGAAAGAACAUGUGAAUAUGAUUUGGAGUUUGAAUGACAAAAUGCAAUUGGACUAGAUGAUUGAGUGGGUUGUUAUAUCUAUUAGUUUGAUUCAAUGGGAACUUGUAUAAAUGGACUUGGGAUUGUAUUAGGACCCAUGAAAAUUGUUUGAACUGUGUGAUUGUUUGGAUAUAUGCUUUGUUGAUCAUAGUUGAUUGUAUAUUUUAAACUUGAGCAAGUUAGAUGCAAACUGAUCUUGUAAUAAUGGACUGAGAACAUGUUAGUAUUACCUGAGUUGAUCACUAUAUUGACUCUAAACUGCUUGUUGAAUUCUAAAUAUUAAUUGUGGGUCAAAUCGUGUUGAUAACUUAAGUUAAGUUUUAAUUUGCUUUUUUUAAUAGCUCGUGUUCCUGGAUAUAUGUAAAAUAAUUCCCUGAUAAUGCUAGCUUUAGUUAUUGGGUUUCAAGCAGGGUUGUAGUCAAAUGAAGUUAUCAAUUAGGAUCUUGUGUUAAUGCCUAACAGGGACUGGAAUUUUGAUUAAAAAUUGUAUUAGUGAUUCAAAAGAACCACCUUUUUUUGGCAUAUAUAGUAGUUGAAAAAUUAACAAGAUAAUAUUCAAGCUGAAAGUUGUUUGAAGGAUUUGAUUCCUCUUCCUCUCUUUCGUAUGCUCAAGGUCACCUGGUCUAGGCUGGCUCUAGGCCUAAUCGCCACAAUCGAGACCAGCAGGCCUCAAUGUUGGAAUUAUAUCCAGGCCCAUUGGCAAGACCAAUUCGGAGCCACUUUUAGUUCAGUUGUUUGCAGCCUUGGAGGCUCGAUGGUUGCUUGUGUUUGAUUUCUAUAUCGUUUUCCUCGGAGCCAGCUGUUGGGCCGGCGUUUUAGCCCAAUUCUCUUUCCAUAGUUCAAGAUCUCAAUUAAUUUUUGAAAUAUAGAUUUCGAGUGUGGUAGCGGGUUUUAAAUUAAAAGGCCCAUCCUUUUGUUUGAAUUCGGACUUGAACUUGAAGCCCGGAUUUUGAAUUUAAUUAAUUAGGAACUCCUUUUUCCUUAUUAGAGACAAAAAAUAAAAAAAUAGAAAAAAUAUAGUUACUUUUAGGUUUAUCCUUUUAAAAUAAAAUGAGACGAGCCUCGCCAAAUAAAAUGUAAAACUGUGGGGCCCUCAAUAAAGGUUUAAAAAAUAUUUAGAAAAUAUGGAAGGGUCUUUAGUGAAUUUCACGGUCCUCCCAAAAGAUUACAACGCGUUAGACUCUAUUAGGCGCGACUUUACUAAAUUAUAUUCCUAAAUACGGGUGGACAUUUUAUGCGGCCCAAAUCUAAAUCCUAUAACAUUGAAUAGAGUGUGCCUAAGAUUGCGGGUUCAUUUGAUGCGGCGCAAUCCGAAAAUACACUUUAAACGACGUUCACUUUCUCAAAUAAAUAUUAUGUUAAAUAAAAUCCGUAAAAACUAAAAAUUGGCACAUAGGCAUUUCAUGUAUUAAAAUUAGAUUUUAGCCAUUCAUAGCAAUUUAAGCGAUCGUGCUAGAACCACGGGAUCCGAGGGUGCCUACACCUUCCCUCGGGUCAACCGAAUUCCUUAUUCCUAAUUUCUUGUUCGCAGACUCCAAUUGGGAAGUCAAACAUUUUCCUCGGACUGGGAUUUAAAAUAAAUUGGUGACUUGGGACACCAAAAGCCAAACCUUUCCCAAGUGGAGACUCUGAAUAACUAAAUAAUCCCAUGAUAAAUGAUGUCACUUUAAAUGGAAAAACUCUCUUAUACAUUUAUCCUGCGGGGUAGGUGUGUAAAAAGGAGGUGUGACAGCUCUGGCGACUCUGCUGGGGACAAGAACUCGUAACAUUUUGUUCAGGGUUAAGAAUUCGAGCUUAGAAUAAUUGUUGUGUUUAGCUUUAUCUAAUUCUGUUACAUGAUAUGUGCUUAAUGUGAUAAUUGAUUGCUUUUACCUCUUUGAUAUUAUUUGAACUGUAUAUAAAUUGUGCCGAAUUUGAAGAAGGGUGUUGGGGUGUACGACUUAUUUUCUGUCUAGUAUCACAAUCCCAAUUUAAAACGAGGUUUGGAUAAGUUGCAAAUCCGACGAAGCUUCUGUAUUCCCGGAUUGCCAUCUCCCCCUCGGCUCGAGCUGUCCGCUCGGGUAAGCCAGGUCUAGAACAAACACCCAGGUUUUAAACCUAGAAUAACUCAGCCUCAUGCCGGAUCCCUAGUAGGAACGCUUAUUUGUAUCAUCUGCAUUUUGACUAAGGGGACUCAACAUAGGGGUUGGGUCCGUCUAGGGCUAGCAACCUGAAAUGAAAAGACUAUCCGAUGAAUUCUACUUGUUUUCUAUGCAUUUAUUUGCUCGGUCUUGCAUGUUGACCGGCUUUUUGAAUCUCGAGGAUGUUAGAAAAUUAGAAAAAAGAAAGUCAGAGAGUUAACUGAUUAAUUUAGAAAAAACCAAUAUCCAAGUACUAUCAGAACUCUGCCGAAAUUUGAAAAAAAAAAUGCAAAAUGUUUUUAUAUAUAGGUUGUUUUAGAAAGAGAUUUUUGGAAAAUUAUUGAAAAAGAAUUAAAAAAGGGGUUUCAAAAUGGAAAAUCUUGAAAAAAGUGUUUUAUCUUAAAUUUUAGUUAGCUUAAGUGCCGAACUACGCUGGUCUGAUUCUCACAGGGGGUGGGAUACGUUGGCAGCCUCAUCGGGUCCAACCUUUUUUUUAAAUAGCCAAAAAUGCCAAGAUUUUGAGAUUUUUGUCAUAAAUAAGUCGGGUGAUUCCGUUUGCGCAAAAAUAGCCAAAUGUUCCCAAACGGGACGCCGUAUGGCUGACCUUGCAUGAAUAGCCACUUUUGAUCUCAUUUUGAUUUUUGACCUCACAACCUUAAGUUCUCAUCCACGAGGUGUUGAAAGGCCAUGGUGGCAAUACUUGGUCGCUUAUUUUUGAAGAAAAAAAGAGGAAAAAGAGUUGUAAAUAAGUCAAGUAAGGUCGUUUUGUCGUAAACAGCCGAAUGUUCCCGAAAGGGACGUCAGAAGGCGCCAAUUGUGAUUUUGACCGGUUGAAUACACAGCCUUUAAAUCUUCAUUUGUGAAGUGCUGAAAGGCCAUGUUUGAAAAUCGAGUCUUUACUUUCCAAUUUGAAAAACACAAAAAACAGCAUAUGAAUAAUUUACCUUUUUGAGUCGAAUAAAAGCUUUUCUUUUACUUAAUCGCCUUAAUAAAUAUGUAGGAUGAGCACAAAUCAAAUUGGACUAUUCUCAGUUUUUAGUGUGGUCCCUCUACAGCUCCACAUGUGGUGGAAUGACCUGGGAGAUGAUAGUAAAAAGACAAUGGAAAGAAUUUUGGGAGGCCUCGUCAGUCUGUUAGAUAUCAAGCCAAGGGCAGAUAUCAUCGAAGCUUUAAUACCAUUUUGGGAUCCGACCCGUAAUAUGUUCCGCUUCACGGACUUUGAGCUUACACCUACACUUGAGGAGGUUGCGGGUUAUGCAGGUUUGGAUGGAAAAUUGAGGGGGAAAUAUUUGCUUUCACCUGGACCGGUGUCUCCACAUGGGUUUUUGAAUUUGCUACACAUUAAUUGGAAGGUGCAAGCUGACGAUCUGUCAAAAGGUUAUUGUGCUGUUUAAUUUUUAUAUCAACGGUACGGUAGUUUUGAAUUUGCUAUGCAUUAAUCGAAAGGUGCAAGAUGACGAUCUGUCAAAAGGUUAUUGUGCUCUCCAAUUUUUAUAUCAACAGUAUGGUAGUCCUCGGGGUUUGAAGAACCAAAUCUCGGACUCACUCAUGACGGCGACAGAGACAAGUGGGCGGCAAUACAUCCUUUAGCUUUCCUGACGGCCUUCCUGGGGAUCGUGGUUUGUCCAUGCAAAGAUAAGAAAAUAGAGAUAGGCCUUGUAGGGAUGGCCGACGUUGCGAUCAAAAGGCCUAACAGUACUGUGGUCCCUUUGGUGUUAUCUGAAAUCUACCAAGCCUUAACUGUGUUGUCGGGAGGGAGGCGAUUUCUUCCAGGGUUGUAAUCUAUUACUCCAUCUAUAGAUACAAGAACAUCUCUGUCAUCGUGUAGGAUACAUGAACCACGGGUUGACUGGAAAGAACUACAUCAGUGGUUUUGAGAAACGGGUGAUAGGCGUUGAAUUCCCUAAAGGUAUUGAAGCAUGGUUUGCAUGGUUGAGGUCAUUGACAUCUAAUCAAGUCGAAUGGGCAUUUGGAUGGUUUCCUAAUACUGAGGUAAUACACAUGGCGGCUGAAGAAUGUCAUAUUCUUUUGAUGGGGGUUCGCAGUAUCCAGCCCUAUGCUCUUCAUCGAGUAUUGCGCCAGCUAAGAAGGUUUCAGACGAUCCCCACUGAUAAAGAUCUAAGCAAGUAUUCCAUUGAGUUAAGUCCAAGAGCCAUAUUUCCGAAAAGGAAGUUCGAAAUCUAUGGAAUGAAUGUAUAUUUCUUGAGUCAAAGACCAUGGUUCGAGAACGGGCUAAGUGAGAAGUAGAUCCAAAGUACGAUGCUUGGUUCGAAAAAAGGUUCCAAAUUCAGAGACCUGCUAAAAGAGCUCAUGUCCAACAAUUUACGGAUGACUCGCAAGAACAGUAGCGCUGGUUGGAAAAGGAAGAGAAAUAUCUGGCCAAAAUUGGUAAGUUGAAGCAACAGAUUGCAAAGUUGAUCUUCGAGAAUAGUGUGCAAGUCGCGGCAGACCAAGGUGAAAAGAAUAGACUAACUCAAGAAAAUGAGAUGCUCAAAUCUCAAAUCCAGCAAAUGAAGGUCGCCGCCAAGAAUCAAUGAAGAAGUAUGUCAGAUGAAAGACACAUAAAAUCUUUGAAAAAUGAGAUUAAUGAGUGUCAGGACGAGUUGAGAAGAUCUGAGAACAUCAUGGCAGAACUCAAGGCACAAUGGGCUAGAAGGUCAGAAGAGCGGCGUCAAUACCUCCAGCAACUGAAAAAGGAACACACAAAAAUUGUGGCCAACUUGUAGGGAAAAGUAAUGUUCCUUGAAGAUAAAGUGGCAAAACAGGAUAGAAGUUUUGAAAUGGAGAGCAGACAGUGUUACGAUUUGCUAUCCCAAAUGGAAUUAGAAGUGCAACAAUUGCAAGAUCAGCACUUCCAAGACUCUCAGGCAUUGAAAACGUGCAGUAAUCAAAUCAAACGUUUGCUCACAUAAAAAAGGGAAACAAGGAACAGAAUUGUAGCCAUUGACCAUGCUAUCCUCAGGAGAUGCCGGGCAUGCGAGAACAUGACCAUCACCAUUUUUUUCUUAGAUGUAAUGAUUUAUGUCAAAAGGACUAUGAGCGAAUUGGAGGAUCUUGAACAUGAUUUAGCACCUAGAACUGUGGCAAGGACGAAUGACGUCCCGCAGGCACCUAUUUUGAAGCAUUGGAGUAUGCAUAGCUAGAGUCUGUAUUUUCCUAUUUUUGAGUUUGUUUGUCCUUUUCAUGUCAAAAUGAAUCUUUAGUUUGUAAUCGGUUCUAGUUUGCGUCUGUCAUUUCUUUAAAACUUGGUCCUAGUUUGCGUCUGUCAUUUUCUUUUGCAAGAAGUUUAGUUUGUAAUAGUUUGUGUUAUUAAUGAAAAUUUAAAAAUUCCCAAAAAAUUGUUUUGCACUUGUUCUACAAACUACGCUUGGUCUAAGCUGUGCAGGAUCACGAUACGUAGGCAAUCUCCAUAGGAUUCGACCGUAGGAAAGAGAAACGGUAGAGAAACAUAGAAAGAAAAGAGAAAACCAAAACAGAGAAAAGAGGAAAACGGGAAAAUUUGAAUAAAUAAAAGAGUGAAGCAAGUAGGGAAAUAGAAAAGCUGGGAUGACACAUGCCUCCAUUGAUGUGAUUACCUGUCUAUGUUUUCCCAAUACUAAACGUUGGCUACUUCCCUUUCCAGAUCUCAUGUUUAUAAGAAACAUGUGGUCGGUUUGUGGUAAGCUGGCUUCACAUCCUUACUUCACCAGAUCUAAAGGUAGCAUAGAGAUGUCUUCGGAAAUGACUCUGCCAACGGUCCCUAUUCCAGAUUACAGCCCGCUCUCGGGUGUCCCGAUCUCAUAAUCUUCUGUAGCUGAAGAAAAUGGAACGCAUGGACAAAGGGAAGGAACCCCCGGACACCAUCUCCGGAUUCCCCGAGAUGCUCACACGACUGUGAAGACCCGACCCGUCGUCCUUUGUAUUUCAGACCCGACAGCUCGCUCUCGGGUGUCCCGGUCUCAGAAUCCUCUAUAGCUGAAGAAAACAUAAUUUUGCAUCUAAGAAUGAUGGAGAUGUGGGAUGCAUGGACAAACGGGAAGGAACCCCCGGAGACCAUCCCCAGAUUCCCGAGAUGCUCACAAAGCCGGCUGGGGCUUCGAGUGUUCCAAUCUGUCUCCCAUAAAUCCCAUUGGGACAACCCACAAUAUCUGCCCACUAUGUAGGAGGCACAUAUGAUGUUUGCCCACAGGCAUUCAUGCGCGGAAUCACCCCACAUAUUUUCACUGCUCUGGCAUCUACUGCUACAACACCUCCAAUAGUUCCAAAGCCCGUCUUCGAAAACAAUUUCACAAAAAAGCACUUUCAAAAACAAUUUCACAAAAAAGCUCCACACUCGGGCAUGGGACCUCGGAUUUCUAUUCCGGGAAUACGCCCGAGUCCCAAAUUUUAUUACGGACCCACCGGGACCGUCACAUCAUGGGUUCAGGUCCGUUUAUCCAAAAAGUUGACCAAGGUCAACUAUAGCAAUAUUAGUAUCAAAAUUCAUAGUUUUUAACACAGAGUUCAAAUAUUUUCACAUAAAAAUAUUCCAGCUUCGCGCUCGGAAUGCGCACACAAAUAGAGACAACCAAAUAAGAGGUUUUCAAGGCCUCAUAAGUGAAAGGAAAUGGAUAAUUUUAGUGAUGACCCUUUGGGUUAUCACAGGUAUGGUGACGGUUACCUAUGCGCCCGAGUCUAGCAUGACCGUGACUCAUAAUUGCUAAUAAAUUUUUUGAAAGAGGCUAACAAUUUAUGAUAAUUACUUGUUAAAUGCACUAUGAAAUGAUAGAUGAGAAGAAAAUGAGCUAAAUAAGGAAUUUUGGUACAUUUCCCUUGCCGAGACUUAUUGUUGAGCUGUUUUUCCUUGUCGAGACUUAUUGUUGAGCUAUUUUUCCUUGCUGGUAUAUUUUAUCUUGUUAUAUAUACCUUUCCAGUUUGGUUGUGACCAUUGAUUGGGUGAGGAAGAGAGAUAUUAAGCACGAAGGGUCUUUCCGUUUCAUGUUUCUUGAUUAUUUGAGCACGAAGGGUCAUUCCGUGCCUUGUUGUGAGAGUCAUGUGAGGAAAGCACGAAGGGUGAUGUCGUGCACUAUGUUUUGAGAGUAAAAGAACGAAGGGUGAUGACAUGCACUGUGUAUUGAGAAUAAAAGCAUGAAGGGUGAUGUCGUGCAUUAUAUUUGACAGUUCUUGUGAGAAAUGAGAGUAAAAGCACGAAGGGUGGUGCCGUGUAGUUGUUGAUUCACUGGCUUUCUAUUUAAUGUUAUAUAUUCAGUUCCAGCCCUUGUUUGUUGGAUUUAUAAUUGAACUGUUACACCCUAGCAUGUCCCCUCCCUAUUAUCUGUUUUAAUAUUUUAUUAUCUUUAUGUUAUUGCACAUAUAUCUAUACAGGUUGAUUGUGGUAGGUCCAGCUUAGCCUCGCCACCACCUCGUCGGAGUUAGGCUGGGCACUUACCAGCACAUGGGGUCGGUUGUGCUGAUAAUACACUUCUGUGCCUUUUGUGCACAUGUCAGGACACAGCGUAUGGACCGUAGCAGUAGCUAGGGAGCGAUCCUUCAGUCCAGAGACUUCGAGGUAGUUCGCUGGCUUUCAUGGGCCCUGGGUCUCAUCUAUCUUUUUCUGUUUGUUUUAUUGUAUCAAAACAGACUUGUUAUACAUUUCUUUCAGACUGAUAUUUGUAGAACUGCGUUAGUAGUCUGUGAGUCGUGACAACAGAUGCUGGGUAGUGUUAUGUCAUAGUCUUCCGCACUUUGUUAGUAUUUCUAUUAAAAAGUCUUUCGCGCGUUUUAUUUAAUUA
rnacentral:lncRNA from 1 species